rnacentral:rRNA from 1 species
GUGGGGAAUAUUGCGCAAUGGGCGAAAGCCUGACGCAGCGACGCCGCGUGAGGGAUGAAGGUUUUCGGAUCGUAAACCUCUGUCAGAAGGGAAGAAACUACAUUGUGCUAAUCAGCAGUGUACUGACGGUACCUUCAAAGGAAGCACCGGCUAACUCCGUGCCAGCAGCCGCGGUAAUACGGAGGGGGCAAGCGUUAAUCGGAAUUACUGGGCGUAAAGCGCACGUAGGCUGUAGUGUAAGUCAGGGGUGAAAUCCCACGGCUCAACCAUGGAACUGCCUUUGAUACUGCACAACUUGAAUCCGGGAGAGGGUGGCGGAAUUCCAGGUGUAGGAGUGAAAUCCGUAGAUAUCUGGAGGAACAUCAGUGGCGAAGGCGGCCACCUGGACCGGUAUUGACGCUGAGGUGCGAAAGCGUGGGGAGCAAACAGGAUUAGAUACCCGAGUAGUCC